GAUCCUGGCUCAGGAUGAACGCUGGCGGCGUGCCUAACACAUGCAAGUCGAACGGACUUACAUUGAAGCCUAGCGAUAUGUAAGUUAGUGGCGGACGGGUGAGUAACGCGUGGGUAACCUGCCUUGUACUGGGGGACAACAGUUGUAAACGACUGCUAAUACCGCAUAAACGCACAGCUUCGCAUGAAGCGGUGUGAAAAACUCCGGUGGUACAAGAUGGACCCGCGUCUGAUUAGCUGGUUGGUG
rnacentral:rRNA from 1 species